rnacentral:rRNA from 1 species
ACCCCGUGAGGGGAGUGAAAUAGUACCUGAAACCGUGUGCUUACAAGCAGUCACAGCCCUAUGCAUGGUCCUUCGGGAUCUGAAUGGGUGGUGGCGUGCCUAUUGUAGCAUGAUCCUGCGACUUACUAGCAGUGCCAAGUUUAAGCCGUUUAGGCGAAGGCGUAGCGAAAGCGAGUCUUAAUAGGGCGACAAAGGCGCUGUUAGUAGACCCGAAACCGGAUGAGCUAGCCAUGGCCAGGUUGAAGCUUCCGUAACAGGAAGUGGAGGACCGAACCCGUUGAGGUUUAAAACUCUUGGGAUGAGCUGUGGUUAGGAGUGAAAAGCUAACCGAAUCCGGAGAUAGCUGGUUCUCCCCGAAAUAGCUUUAGGGCUAGCCUCGGGGGUUUACCAAUGGCUGUAAAGCACUGAUUGGGCUAGGGGGCCUACCAGCUUACCAAACCCUGUCAAACUCUGAAUGCUAUUGGUCCAUACCCCGGGAGUCAGUCUAUGGGAGCUAACUUUCAUAGACGAGAGGGAAACAACCCAGACCGCCAGUUAAGGUCCCAAAAUCGUGACUAAGUGGAGAAGGAUGUGGAGAUGCAAAGACAGCUAGGAGGUUGGCUUAGAAGCAGCCAUUCCUUGAAAGAGUGCGUAAUAGCUCACUAGUCGAGCGUCUCUGCGCCGAAGAUGAUCGGGGCUAAGUCAUGUACCGAAUCUGCGGCAGGGCGGAACUUUAGGGUUCCGCACUGGGUAGGGGAGCGUUCCGUAGGCCGUUGAAGCGCUACCGUAAGGAGGCGUGGAGGUAUCGGAAGUGCGAAUGCAGGAAUGAGUAACGAUAAGAAGGGUGAGAAUCCCUUCCGCCGAAAGCCUAAGGGUUCCUGAGCAAGGGUCGUCCUCUCAGGGUUAGGCGGGACCUAAGGCGAGGCCGAAAGGCGUAGUCGAUGGACAGCAGGUUAAUAUUCCUGCCCCACUUUCGUGGAGUGAUGGGGUGACGCAUUAGGAUAGGCCAACCGGAGCCAUGGCUGAGCCCGGCGGCGUACGAAGCUCGGAGGGAUAGGAAAAUCCGCCCUCCACAUAGAGUGACGUACGUCGGGAAGGCCCUACGGGGCUGAUAACUGGUUGAAUCCACGGUGCCAAGAAAAACCUCUAAAUGUUGAAGCGAGAGUGCCCGUACCAAAACCGACACAGGUGGGCGAGUGUAAGAGCACUAAGGCGCGCGAGAGAACUCUGGUUAAGGAACUCUGCAAAAUGGCCCCGUAACUUCGGGAGAAGGGGUCCCGCGUGUAGGGUUAGCAAUUAUGCAAAGCCCGAAGCGGGCACAGUGAAUUGGCUCUAGCGACUGUUUACCACAAUCACAGCACUCUGCAAACCCGAGUAGGGGAAGUAUAGGGUGUGACACCUGCCCGGUGCCGGAAGGUUAAGGGGAGCGGUGCAAGCUGCGAACUGAAGCCCCGGUGAACGGCGGCGGUAACUAUAACCGUCCUAAGGUAGCGAAAUUCCUUGUCAGGUAAGUUCUGACCUGCACGAAUGGUGUAACGACUGGAGCGCUGUCUCAACCAGAGACUCGGUGAAAUUGAAUUGGCUGUAUAGAUGCGGCCUACCCGCAGCAGGACGAAAAGACCCCGUGGAGCUUUACUACAGCUUGGUAUUGGCGUUUGGAUUGAUCUGUGUAGGAUAGGUGGGAGACUGUGAAGCGUGGCCGUUAGGCUACGUGGAGUCAAUGGUGAAAUACCACCCUGAUUAGUUCGCACGUCUAACCUUCGUCCGUUAUCCGGACGGGGGACAGUGCUAGGUGGGUAGUUUGACUGGGGCGGUCGCCUCCUAAAGUGUAACGGAGGCGCACAAUGGUUCCCUCAGCACGGUCGGAAAUCGUGCAUAGAGCGUAAGGGUAUAAGGGAGCUUGACUGCGAGACGUACAUGUCGAGCAGGUACGAAAGUAGGUCCUAGUGAACCGGUGGUUCCUUGUGGAAGGGCCAUCGAUCAACGGAUAAAAGUUACCCCGGGGAUAACAGGCUGAUACCGCCCGAGAGUUCACAUCGGCGGCGGUGUUUGGCACCUCGAUGUCGGCUCGUCUUAUCCUGGGGCUGGAGAAGGUCCCAAGGGUCCGGCUGUUCGCCGGUUAAAAAGGCACGCGAGCUGGGUUCAGAACGUCGUGAGACAGUUCGGUCUCUAUCCGCUGUGGGCGUAGGAAAGCUGAGGAGAGCUGUUCCUAGUACGAGAGGACCGGAAUGGACACACCUCUAGUGUCUUAGCUGUCGCACCAGCGGCAUAUGUUAAGUAGCUAUGUGUGGAACGGAUAAGCGCUGAAAGCAUCUAAGCGCGAAGCCGACUCCAAGAUGAGCUUUCCCACCUCCUUGU